ACGGGGAGCACCACAACAGGUGGAGCCUGCGGUUUAAUCGGACUCAACGCCGGGAAACUCACCAGAUAAGACAGCUGAAUGAUAGUCGGGCUGAAGACUCUACUUGACUAGCUGAGAGGAGGUGCAUGGCCGUCGUCAGUUCGUACUGUGAAGCAUCCUGUUAAGUCAGGCAACGAGCGAGACCCACGCCAACAGUUGCCAGCUCGUCCUCCGGGAUGGUGGGGGACACUGUUGGGACCGCCUCUGCUAAAGAGGAGGAAGGAAUGGGCAACGGUAGGUCAGCAUGCCCCGAAUUAUCUGGGCUACACGCGGGCUACAAUGGGUGGGACAAUGGGUAUCGACACCGAAAGGUGAAGGCAAUCUCCUAAACCCAUCCGUAGUUCGGAUUGUGGGCUGCAACUCGCCCACAUGAAGCUGGAAUCUGUAGUAAUCGCGUUUCAAAAUAGCGCGGUGAAUAUGUCCCUGCUCCUU
rnacentral:rRNA from 1 species